AGGACAAAGGUACAGGGAAUAGGACAAAGGUACAGGGAAUAGGACAAAGGUUCAGGGAAUAGGAUAAAGGUACAGGGAUAGGACAAAGGUACAGGGAUAGGACAAAGGUUCAGGGAAUAGGACAAAGGUACAGGGAUAGGACAAAGGUACAGGGAUAGGACAAAGGUUCAGGGAAUAGGACAAAGGUACAGGGAUAGGACAAAGGUACAGGGAAUAGGACAAAGGUACUGGGAUAGGACAAAGGUACAGGGAUAGGACAAAGGUACAGGGAAUAGGACAAAGGUACAGGGAAUAGGACAAAGGUACAGGGAUAGGACAAAGGUACAGGGAUAGGACAAAGGUACAGGGAUAGGACAAAGGUACUGGGAUAGGACAAAGGUACAGGGAUAGGACAAAGGUACAGGGAUAGGUACAGGGAUAGGACAAAGGUACAGGGAUAGGACAAAGGUACAGGGAUAAGAAAAAGGUACAGGGAUAGGACAAAGGUACAGGGACAAAGGUACAGGGAUAGGACAAAGGUACAGGGAUGGGACAAAGGAUAGGACAAAGGUUAGGACAAAGGUACUGGGAAUAGGACAAAGGUACAGGGAUA